rnacentral:tRNA from 1 species
GGCUCAGACAACCCAAACUGCAAAUUUGGAGAAGAACUUUGGUUCCUGGGUCUA